rnacentral:rRNA from 1 species
AAUAGAUACCCGGGUAGUCCACGCCGUAAACGAUGAGUGCUAGGUGUUGGGGGGUCCACCCCUCGGUGCCGAAGUUAACACAUUAAGCACUCCGCCUGGGGAGUACGGUCGCAAGACUGAAACUCAAAGGAAUUGACGGGGACCCGCACAAGCAGUGGAGUAUGUGGUUUAAUUCGAAGCAACGCGAAGAACCUUACCAGGUCUUGACAUCCCUCUGAAUCCUCUAGAGAUAGAGGCGGCCUUCGGGACAGAGGAGACAGGUGGUGCAUGGUUGUCGUCAGCUCGUGUCGUGAGAUGUUGGGUUAAGUCCCGCAACGAGCGCAACCCUUGAAUUUAGUUGCCAGCACGUUAAGGUGGGCACUCUAGAUUGACUGCCGGUGACAAACCGGAGGAAGGCGGGGAUGACGUCAAAUCAUCAUGCCCCUUAUGACCUGGGCUACACACGUACUACAAUGGCCGGUACAACGGGCAGCGAAGGAGCGAUCCGGAGCCAAUCCUACCAAAGCCGGUCUCAGUUCGGAUUGCAGGCUGCAACUCG